rnacentral:snRNA from 1 species
GGCUGUUGGAAUGACUUGUCUGGGACAUCUGUCACCCCAUUGAUUGCCAAGAUAAUCUGAGCUGGCUGUGUGGAAACUGUCCUCUUCUCUCCCACUGAUUCAUUUAUGUUCUUCCUGAAGUUGCACCCUGUAUUAAAAACCUUAUGCAACAGAGAAAUUGCUGUAUUCUCCUGCAAGAUCCACUAAACAAGUCUGAAGAAAAAAUUUAUAUAUCAUAAUACAUGACUACAAAGCUAUAGUAA